GACGAACGCUGGCGGCGUGCUUAACACAUGCAAGUCGAACGGUGACGAGGAGCUUGCUCCUCCGAUCAGUGGCGAACGGGUGAGUAACACGUGAGCAACCUGCCCCAGACUCUGGGAUAACAGUUGGAAACAGCUGCUAAUACCGGAUACGAGACGGAGAGGCAUCUCUACCGUCUGGAAAGUUUUUCGGUCUGGGAUGGACUCGCGGCCUAUCAGCUAGUUGGUGAGGUAAUGGCUCACCAAGGCGACGACGGGUAGCCGGCCUGAGAGGGCGACCGGCCACACCGGGACUGAGACACGGCCCAGACUCCUACGGGAGGCAGCAGUGGGGAAUAUUGCACAAUGGGCGAAAGCCUGAUGCAGCGACGCCGCGUGAGGGAUGACGGCC
rnacentral:rRNA from 1 species